rnacentral:rRNA from 1 species
GAUGAACGCUGGCGGCGUGCUUAACACAUGCAAGUCGAACGUGAGAGGAUAGCAAUAUUCUUGAAAGUGGCGCACGGGUGAGUAAUACGUAGGUAACCUGCCCUGGAGUGGGGGAUAACAACUAGAAAUGGUUGCUAAUACCGCAUGAAGCCAAGACACUGGGAAGUGAACUUGGUAAAAAACUCUGGUGCUUCAGGAGGGGCCUACGGCCGAUUAGCUAGUUGGCGGGUAAGAGCCCACCAAGGCAGUGAUCGGUAGCUGGUCUGAGAGGACGAUCAGCCACACGGGAACUGAGACACGGUCCCGACUCCUACGGGGGGCAGCAGUGAGGAAUAUUGGGCAAU